UACGGAGGGUGCAAGCGUUAUCCGGAUUUACUGGGUUUAAAGGGUGCGUAGGUGGACAAUUAAGUCAGUGGUGAAAUCUCCGGGCUUAACCCGGAAACUGCCAUUGAUACUACUUGUCUUGAAUACUUUGGAGGUAAGCGGAAUAUGUCAUGUAGCGGUGAAAUGCUUAGAUAUGACAUAGAACACCAAUUGCGAAGGCAGCUUACUACACAGUAAUUGACACUGAGGCACGAAAGCGUGGGGAUCAAACAGGA
rnacentral:rRNA from 1 species